AAUUUCAAAAUUUAUAUAAUUGUUUUAUAAUUUGCCUAAUAUCGCCUGUCCUUAUAUUUUCUCAAUAUCGCCAUAAACCAAUUUAAAGGCCAAAAUGGGUUUUAAUAAUUAAUUUUUUAUUUACCCGGAUUUCCGCUAAAUAACAGCGGGUAAAAGGGCCCGAAAAUACCCCUAAUAUUAUAACCGGGACGGUACCAGGGAAAAAAGGUAGAAUUUUGCCGACAAAACCCAGGAUUUUAUAAGGAUGGAAUCGGGUAACUUUACGUAAUUACCAAGGUAUAAUAUCGAAUAAUUUUGUAAAAUUAAAACUAACGCCAAAAGCAAAUUACGUCAAAUAAUUUGUAAAAAUUAAAAAAAAUCACAUUUGGGCCCCAGGUUAAAUAAACAAAUUUAUUACCGUAUAAAUAAAUUUACUUUUAGAAUUAACCUCGAUAUUUACUAUAUUUAAAACCGAUUGUAAUUUUACCCCAAUUAUCGAAAAUUUCCAAUUUUAAUAUUAACGUUUAUUUGUUUUUAACAAUCGUAUUUUUACCUUUAAAAAUAAAUUACCCCGAUAUUUUUAUCGUAAUACCGAAACCUACGUAAAAUUACGCGAAAUUAUUAUAAAUAAAUUUGAAUAUAUUGGUUACAUUUCGGAAUAAUUUAAUAUUUUCGAUUUACAAUAUUCCAGGUUAUUUUGUAUCGAAAAGGGGAAUGGUAUGUCUAAAUUUAAAAUUCGCUUCCUUAUUAUGCAAAAAAUGCGAAUAAAUAUAGAAAUGUUAUUUUGCAAACGUUUUUACAAUGUUUUAGGGGUUUGGUGGGUUUAUUUCCGCUUAAUUUUUAUAUUAAUCCCAAAAAUUUCCUCAAAUGGUAAUAGUUUCGUAAUAAACAAAACUAAUUGCCUAUUUAAAGUAUAUAAUACGAACACUAUGGGUAACGACGGAUUUCAAUCCCUGGCCUUCCGAAGGCUGCGGUUCUUUGCUUUAAAAAACGUGGUCCGAUAAACAAUUAAUUUUAAUCCUUUCCCCAAUUGUUUCACUGCUUUAAAAAUCGGUAAAGGAGAGUUAUUUUGGUAACGGCUAACUCGAGUUUUAACAAACGUUAAUUAAUAAAUAGCUUUUAUCGGGUUGUGCGGCGUUUGAAAGACUUAAAAUUCGGUGGUGGGAAAAAUAGGCUUUUUGGGUGAAGGCGUCCGUAUUUUGAUAUCCAGUUUGGAAAUUACGGCUUCCGGGUUAUAAAAGAUAAAUCCAGCUCCCCUAAAACCCCCAACCAUAUUGUUUUUUGUUAUAAAAAUUUCGUACGCCGUUAUAAAAACCAAAAAAAAACUCGAUUUUACUAAUGUUAUUAAUAUGGGUUCGGAUAAAAUUGUUAAUUUUUUAUCCGUACGCCCGUUUCAGGACACCGAAUAUUCUAACGUUAAAUGGUUGGGUUAGGUAAAACGAAUAAAUAGGCAAAUAAAUUGAAAUUAUAUUAUUAUUUUUGCAAUAGCUUUUAAAUUCGGGUAAUUAAUAAUUACCGUGCCCGUCGAAUACCAACAUCCGAUAUGCGCCUUUUAUCCGCGAUUAUAUAUAAUUAUCGAAAUAUUAAAUCCAUUCCAAACCUAUUUCGUUAUUUGUCCAUCCAUUUUGGCUAAUUUUUAUAUUUUAAAAUAUUGGAAAACCGCCAUUUAUAUACUAAUUUGCGAAAUGGUAAACGUUUUUAACGAUAAAAAAUGGGGGUAUAUUAUAACCGUCGCUAUUAAUGCAACAAAUUGCAAUCGCCCAUUUUCGAUUACCAGGUUGUAUUUUUUUAUUUUUUCCGCGUUUUUCGGACCCAAUUACAAUUAUAUAUCCGCAAAUUUGGCCUAUUAUAAAACCGGUUUUGUCGAAAUUAUAAAUGUCGCAAUUUUAAAUACCGUAUUUGGUUUUUAUAUUGGCCACCAAUCGAAACCACGCGUUUAACGCGUUAGGAUUUUCGCACAAAACCCUUUAAAAAUCGCAAACGCGAAAAAAACACGUUUUGAAUUUUGUGCGUCGUUGGAUAAAAUAAUUUACCUAUCGCGUCCCAAUUGGUUGCGCGUUCCGCGUUAUAAACAAAUGGUCGAUUAUUGCGGCCAUAUCGGCAAUUUAAAGCGGAAAUCCUCGGAAAUUUAAAUCCAAUAUAUAUUGGACAAUUAUUUCCUUUUCGCUUUCCGUUAAUUUUAAACGUCCGGAACGAUAAUUGGCGAAAAUAAUAACGCCUUUUAUUUUAUCGCGGAAUGUCGAUUCGGGUAUAUUAUAUGUUUUAACAGCGGUUUUUCGGCCUAAUUUAUUCGACGAUUGGACAGUUUUAAUAGCCAAAAAUAUUUGGGACUUUUUUAUAUUAAUUGGCAUUUUGUAUUGUGGAAAUAAUAUGUGGUUAAAUU
rnacentral:sRNA from 1 species